UAAAUUUUUUACUUGUGUACAAUUUUAGUGGAUUAAUUUAUCACUUUAGAUUUUAAGUGAAAAAGAGCAUAAUAAUUUCAAAAGGUCUUAUUUUUAUUUUGGGAUAGACAGUAUGCUUAGAAAUUAACUUUUUCAAAAAAAGAAAGGUUAUACUCAUACGUAAGUUUAGAGAUUCUAGCUCUAAAAAAAAAUACAAAUAUACAGUAAAAUAUCCUAUAAAAACAAUUUGUUAUUGAAAUUGUACAUUAAAAAUUUAACUAUUAUGAUAAUUGUUUCCUUUUUUCAUUAUUAAUGAAUAAUGUUAAUCACGUAAAACUUAAUUUUAGGAUAAAUAAUCUGAGAGUUAUUAACCAAACUCAAUGAUUGUCUGAUAAUAAAUGUAACUAAAUUACAAUAAUUUAUUCGACUAUGUUAACGCACAUAACUGCAUAUGAAUUAAAACAAUGUAAAUAAAAAAAGUAUGUAUAAAUGUAUGCAGUAUAAUACGUGACGUACAAUGAGAUAAGAUAUGAGUGUAUGUCCUUUCAUAGCAUUUCAAUCUACACACAACUUCUACAUAAUGUUAUUGUAAACUCUAAAAGUAAAACUUUAAUAUAUGCCUUUAAUAUAACCUUUAAUAUAAAAUUUAAGAUUACACGAUGAACGAUAUUUAUAAUAAACUCUGGUAUUUUUUCAAUCUUUCAAAAAUAAUAUGCAUAUGCUUGAUGUUCCUAACACUAGACUUAUAGUAAGUAGACCGUAAGUACGAAGGUAAAUUAUAGUUUAUUUAGUUUGAAUUUCUAAAAAAUGGCAUUGAAAAACAAUAAGAUCAAUGCACUUUAAAUUUAAAUUUUAAACUCUACUUGAUUCACAUUGAAUAGUAUUAUACGUCAUGUUAUAUUGAUUAAUAAUUACUGCGUUAAACUUGAAAAUAAUAAUACACUAGGAUAUUAUCGAGUGUGUUAACAAUAUAUGAUCAAUAGAAAAAAUUAAUAUUGCAAUAAUUCAUAAUAUAAUAAUAAUAAUUUAACAAUAGUAUAAUCCAUAUAUCUAUUCUAGAUUUUCGUUGAUAUCAUAUGAUUUCUUAGAAUGUUUAAUUUAAUUUAAUUUCUUUAUCAUCUAGUAAAACUGUUUGAGCAUCUUUAAUGUCGUUAAUUAUGAGUUCAUCCAAUGUUGGAUAAAUUAGGUCCUUAAAUGUCAGUGGUAACUGCAACAGAGGUGGGUUUAUGAGUGGAUCAUUACACCACAUGGUCCAAGUUUUUUCUACAAAGUCGAAAACACCUUUAAACAAUAAAAAAACAAUUCGUAUAGUUAUCGUAUAAAAAUUAUUAUUAUAUUGAUAAUUCGUUAAAAACUACAAGCUUAAUAAAUCAUAAAUCAUGAUAAUUGAAACUUUUUUAAAUUAAUUGUAGAAAUGUUAUUAACAUAACUCAUUAAGAUUUGUAAAUUGAAUUAUUUUGUUCAAGAUUGAGAAUUACUGCAUUUAGCCCGUUCAUUAUACUAUUUAUGCGCGAUGAAUUAUGAAUGAUGCAUUUAACUGCUUUAUUAAUGAAUGUGAAUUCAACUUAAAUCCUAACAUGAGUUAAAUGUUAUAUAUUAAGCACUAUUUUAUACUUAUAAAGAAAAUUAAUUGGAAAAUAUUUAUAGCUUGACAUCAGUUGGUUAAUAGUAUGAAGUCUUGAGUAUAGAUCAAUUGUAUUAUUACGUAUUCAUAUUCUUAACAGGAUAAAAUAAAAUAACAUACAAAUCUAUAUAAAAGUAUUUCCGUAGAACACAUGCUCUCAGUGCCCCUUGGCUACCACCUGUAUCAUUAUAUUUAUAAUAAUAAUAAAGUAAAAAUUAUAUUAUUUUUGGUAUAUUUAUAAAUAAUUUGACUGAUAUAUCUGGUUUUUAUUCAUAAGUGUUAAAUUGGAAAAAAAAAUCUUAUCAUUUUGUUAUUAAAAUAUAUGUUUUAUAAAUUUUAAAAAUCAAACAUAUUUAAAUUUCUAGUUCUAUUUUUAAAUUUGGGUCUGAAAAAACCCUAACUCAUGGUUGAUUGUACGAGGUUUUGCUAUUCUAUGCCGUAGAAUCUUCUAUUAAAUACUACUAAUUUGCUGUUAUCCUGAAUCUCGAUAUACUCGAUUCACUCCUAUCAUUCAGCUACUUUGUCGUUACUACUUCAUAUUUUCUUAGUUCAUGGGUCUAAAUGAGCACUCAGUAAGUACUUCUCCAUAUAAAAUAGUAUUGUA